AAACUCGAAGCUUCAUAAAUUUCUUUAAGAAUUGUUUAAGCAAUCAAUAAGCCUGCAUAUGCAAAUUAGUUUAUAGCGUACAAGAUAUGUCUAAACCAUGGCAUAAUCAAGUGCAGGGGAAACGCAGACGUUAGCACGACUCUAUUCUAUUUACUGUUUUGGGGCGACCAUUCAGGCGAUCCCCUCAAGAGGCGAGGGUAGGCUAGUGGUGAGAAAGCAUUUAAAGAUGAGUGAUGUUUGUGCACAAUGGAUAUCAAAACGGGAACGUGUGAAACGUUGGCAAGGAUCACACGACAAGUAGCUUCCUCGCGGCUAAUGCGAUUCGAGAAGGCGAAGCCGCGAUAGUCUAACGUGCGGUAUAAGGAUGAUUCCGGGAUCAAUACGUGAGAAAGAUGAGAAAGCGAAGUAGUUUGUUGUUUUAAAGAGCUUGGUUCAUCGACUAAUCUCUUUCAUUUCUGGAGAACAGUUGCUAUAACUGUACUUAUGAGUAUACAUAAGUAGAGUUACGCUAACGUUCAAGGAUCUCCAAGAAGUUAGAGAUGCUCUCUUCACCAGUAGACAUUUGAUGCGAUGUGUUAACCAUGUUUGUGAUGCAAGAGGACAUGCGUCGGAAGACUCUUGAAAUUGAUUUUGGUAAUUCUCUUUCUCUCAAAUUCACAAUUAUGGCCUACAUGCUUACGUUUGAUAAUGUAUGCCAAGAAACGCGAUCGCGGUGAGCAACUCACAAAUCCACAAGAAACAUCUCUUAUUUCGUACCAAAUCGAGCGUAGUCUGGCUCGUUUGAGAUGUUCAAUAUCUGUGAUCGCAACUUUUGGCCACAUAAAUUCGUGUAACACGGGACUUUGCCAGCCGCCAUCGCCGAUAACGGACAAGGGGAUUAACAGCUAAAGCCUUUGUGUAGGUCGGUAUGUUUAAAGCCGCGGUGGACAUUGGAAGGAAAUUUUUCAGAGCACAAGUGGAACGUAUAAGUUAAAACUUUUAUUAUACGAACGCAAAAUAUUUUUGAAGACUCUCGUUAAGGAAAUUUUUUUGACUCUGAGAUACACGCUCUCUUUACAACGCUGAAUUUAUUAAACGAUCUCCUGCCUUCAUUGCAUGUUCUUUACCACAUUAUUUUUUUUGUUGCCAAAAAAAAAAAAAAUAAAAGAAAAACAGUAGCAAAACUAUUUUCGAGUAUGACCGAGUCUUUUACAACCACCAUCUUAUCUAUUUAUCUUAUAAACACUCAAAAAUAAAAUAAAACAAAAGACGGUAAAAAUAAAAUUUAGAUAAUCUGAUUAUUUUUACAUCCUACAACACUUAUUAUAUAAAGUUGGGUUUAAAAAUGUGGGGAUGUAUGCACCAGCCAGAAAGACUUGAGGUAGGCCCGCUCCCUAUUACGCCUUCAAAUUAAAAGCAGCAAUUUUUAAGAUGUUUUGAUGAAAUCUGACGUGUUUUGCUUCAAGGCCAAACGCCAUUGAAAAUAUUUCAGACUGGACGGAUCCCAUAUAACGCCUUACUUCGAAAAGCCGUUACGUUAAUCACUGUAGGGUGGUGUAGCGUGUUUAGUGGUGGCUGUAGCCGAUUAUAAUGUUUUUUCUUUUAAAUACGAGCGAUCACCCAGAAGGUAGAAGUGCGGAAAGAGAAAGAGAUAGGAAAUGGCCGUAGCCUAGUGGGCCUACGCUCAACAGCUAAAUGUUGCGCGUUUACCAGUUAAGCAUCCGGUGUAUGUACGGCCAAGUAUGCUCUGCCACAUUCAAAAUUGAACUCGCGCACAAUGACUAGGUAGAUGCGAUUCUUAUGGACUCAGCUGCUUAUACGGAUUAACCAAUAAUAUCGGUUUGGUGUGAACGAAUUUGUUGUAAAGGUGCUCUGAAGGAUAAUCCAUAGCAUAUGUUUGAAUGUUUUUAUUAUCGUAUUUACAAUUGAUUAUAGGAAAAAAUGUGAAAGAAGUUGAGGAUAUAGUUACUCUCAGCUCAUGUUGUACUGUAGCAGUGUCUUUUGACCAAUCUGAUCCCAAUUCGCCGCCGGAAAAUUCACUCCCUUUUUGCCAAAUUUCAAGCCAAUUUCACAUUCACGCACAAAGGCAAGCAGACGGACAGAUAUACCUAGAUCGAGGCAAAUGUAUGUAUGUUUUUUAUAUAUUAUAGGGUACCUAAAUCAUUCCUUACGGUAUUGCAAACGUUUUUGUAAUAUGAACAUACACCAACGUUUGAUGGUAAGUAGGUAUAAAAAUGAAUGUUAACUCUUCAGAAUGGAACGUUUGUCUUCUACUGUUUUCUUUUAUUUUUCUGUAUUGUCGUUUAGUCAAGAUGUCACCACAAAAGGCUUAAUCAUUCUUAGUCAGCAAAUAUGUAACUUCCAUAAGAACAAUGACUGCGACGAAGGUACGACGCUUUUUUUGUUUUUCUGCUCUUGAUUUUUUAUAAAAUUGUCGUUUAUUUGCCUCUCCUGCUGAACCGAUUUAUUCCAUUCAAGACAGCAUUUGUUAUUGUUUUAUGGGUAAAAAGAAAAAAACAACAACAAAAAUUGUCUUCAAUAAUUCAGUUGAAAUCAAUGCAAAAAUUUAACAACGAAAAUUGUUGCCGUUUUCCAUGACAAACUGAACAACUGAGCUGAGCGUACGAGGAGGACAUGCAGAAUGACAACUAUGCAGAUGGAAUUCAUGACAAAAUGUAAACACUACAGGUUUAAGAAGUUUAUUACAUCCGUCAUUGAAGAAGGAGAUUACAAAUUAAUCUCCUAAAUUUCAAUUAUUAUAACUAGAUACGUAUAUGUUGGUGUGUCAUGUUUAUGAGGGAGAUAUGCAGAAUACUACUACUAAGCCUCACGCUUCGAAGUGACGAUUCAAAGACUGAGGGAUUACCACACACUGAUCUUUUUCCUCGUAUUCUAUCCUUUCUUCGCAUGUUCCUUUCAAACAAAUGCUCAACGUCUGCGAAGUUAAUGGCUUCUUUUCGUUUCAUUCGAAAUUCGCUUCUUGGUUUCCUUCAGACUCAAAUUGUUGACCGUUGAAAGAAAGAAGCGACGGAGUCAGAGGCGGACAGUGGGAAAGAGACAUCGGAGGUAUUAACAGACACAUAAUAGUCAUGAUUUCAUGGUUUAUGCACGGUCACCAGUUCAAACGAUUGACGCGCCUGUCAUCGGAUUAGUAGCGGAGCAAACAUGUUGUAAAUUUAAUCAAUUAACCACAAACAAGAAAUAACUUUAAACCUUUGGCGACUGUGUGUAAGCGCAUAAGUUUCCAUAGCAGCCUGUAAAGAUCACCGUCCAGAGAACAACAACAAGUGAACAUCGUAUUGAAUUUUGUUUUUUUUUUACAAACAAUCAAAAUGAUUUUUGAAAUCGUGUUUUCAAGUAAUAAGUGAAUGAAUAAAUAAGAAAAUUCGGCAGCUUAAAGCACUGUUUACAAAGUGCUGGUGUUUAUUAAUAUGUUUACUAGCCAAGCGAUACCAACAAAUUUUAACGACCAACAUAACCAGCAGUAGCAACAGCAGCAUCAACAACAACAAUUUAAAUGCGGUAGUUGUUCAUUGAAUCAGUUAUUGAAAUUCCAAGAAAUCC